GGGUCGGCAGGGUGUUUGGCGGUCGGUUGGAGGGAGAAAGCAAGUUUUUUGGAAUAACGAGUGAUUUAACAACAUAUCAAAGUAGUUUGAAGGAAUGUGGGAGGAGGAGGAGUUGGAUUGAGUGGUAGGAUGGAUAUCGGCCAAUGACCUGUAAGCUCCGGUAUACGAUAUCUGUGUACGACUCGUGAAGGGAGAGAGGGGGACAAUGAGGGAGAGUGGAGAGGAUAUAAGGGUAUGAACCAACGCAGCCAAGCAAAAGGGAAGAAGAGAUUAAGAAGGGACAGUGAUGAGCAUAAUGAGAGUGAAGAAGUGGGGCUUGAGCAAACACAAACGGUGAGACAGGAGAAGUGUAUUGCUAUACACUGUAUUGUUGUCGUACUGCAGUUGGAAUGAAUUUCAUAUCAAAAAUAUAUGACUCCUCUCAUUCCCUAACUCACAGCCCAGCUGAAAUAAACUCCACCUUCGCUUCCUAUUAUUUUAACCUGUAUCAGUCCGAACCUCCUGCAAAUACGACUACAAUGGAUCAUUUCCUGGAUAACAUUGAUAUACCUACCAUAGAUCCUCGUAUUAAAGAGGAGUUGGAAAAACCUAUACAGUUGGAAGAAUUAACUUCUUGUCUUAAAUUAAUACAAAAUAAUAAAGCUCCAGGGCUGGAUGGAUUUCCAGUUGACUUCUAUGAAAGAGUAGGCUCUCUUCUUUCAUCUGGAAAAAAAAGUUUCCGUUCACUAGUAAUCGGCAUUAGAACAUACACCCCUUAUUUUAACAACCCAACUGCCGGGUUAUGAAAUGUUUAACCCAUUAUGGGUUAUUUAUAUAGGAUAUGGGUCACGUUUGUGCAACUCAUGUGGUGGGUCAAAAUCCAUCAACCCAACAUACAUCGGUUAACUCAGCACCUGGGUUGUUUGUGCUUCGAACGUCAUCACGUGGACAGAAGGUUCACACACCAAGCACCAAGCGCUCACGCGAAUCAGAACCUGACUCAGCAUCGUCGUCGUCGUGAAGCAGAUAAUAAAAGAUCAAUGGACAGCUUUGUCAUCAAUACUUUGACAUAGUGGCAACUGACAGACCUUAUAGAAAGAUUCCAAGAAGAGGAUUGAUGAGGAAAGUUUUCUUCUUUUAGAUGAGGCCACCAUCAAAGAGCUGAUCACAAGCUGGUCCUAGGCUCAAGUUUCUCAAGAAGUUUCUCAAGAAGGAUCAAUUCUUCAGUUGUCCGGGAGUGAAAACUGGUCAAGUUCCUCCAAACAAGAGUACUUGCAUGCAAGGAGCAUGUUUAGGUGUUUACUGAUACUCAUUUGAACUGUUCCAUGCAGUGACCUGAAUUAGAAAACAUUUAUAUUGUGGAUAAUAAUACAUUUUUUCCAAGAUUCCAGUAUUGUUUAAGUGUUUAUUGCAUAAUA